GGCGCUGCCCCGGCGAGGGCCCGACUUGUGGUGCGGGCAGGAGCGGCCCGAGCGCGGCCCCGCUCUGCUCGUGUCCGCCUCCCGCCGGGCGCGGCAGGGCCCGAUGGCGGCCGGGCUGGGGCCGCGGCUGCUGGCCUUGGCCUUGGCCUUGGGGCCGGCCGGCGUUUGGGCUGAAAUGAGUCUGGUGGAGUCUGGUGGAGGUCUGCAAGCACCUGGGGACUCUGUGCACCUCUCCUGCCAGGGAUCUGGAUUCAACUUCGGUUCAUUUGCUGUACGGUGGUACCGUCUGGCACCCGCUGGCAGUCUUGAGUGGCUGUCCUACAUCAGCACUAGCUCCUCAUAUAUUAGAUUUGGCCCAGAUGUGGAGGGCCGAGCCAAUGUCUCCCGGGACAACUCCCAAGCAAAAGCAUCUCUAUACCUGCAUGCCCUGCGCCCCCGGGACUCAGCCUGCUACUUUUGUGCUGUUCCCACGGGGACAGGAAAUCCAGUAGAUCAUUAA